rnacentral:rRNA from 1 species
UACAGAGGUCUCGAGCGUUAGGCGGAAUCACUGGGCUUAAAGCGUGUGUAGGCGGACCCCUAAGUGUCUUGUGAAAUCCCACGGCUCACCCGUGGAACUGCUGGGCAUACUGGGGGUCUUGGGCCGUUCAGGGGCGACUGGAACAAGCGGUGGAGCGGUGAAAUGCGUAGAUAUCGCUUGGAACGCCGAAGGUGAAAACAGGUCGCUGGGGACGCGCCGACGCUGAGACACGAAAGCCAGGGGAGCAAACGGG